rnacentral:rRNA from 1 species
UACGAAGGGUGCAAGCGUUACUCGGAAUUACUGGGCGUAAAGCGUGCGUAGGUGGUUUGUUAAGUCUGUUGUGAAAGCCCCGGGCUCAACCUGGGAAUGGCAAUGGAUACUGGCAGGCUAGAGUGCGGUAGAGGGUAGUGGAAUUCCCGGUGUAGCGGUGAAAUGCGUAGAGAUCGGGAGGAACACCAGUGGCGAAGGCGGGCUACCUGGACCAGCACUGACACUGAGGCACGAAAGCGUGGGGAGCAAACAGGAUUAAA